UACGUAGGGUGCGAGCGUUGUCCGGAAUUAUUGGGCGUAAAGAGCUCGUAGGCGGUUUGUUGCGUCUAUCGUGAAAACCUGCAGCUUAACUGUGGGCUUGCGGUGGAUACGGGCAGAUUUGAGUUCGGUAGGGGAGACUGGAAUUCCUGGUGUAGCGGUGAAAUGCGCAGAUAUCAGGAGGAACACCGGUGGCGAAGGCGGGUCUCUGGGCCGAUACUGACGCUGAGGAGCGAAAGCGUGGGGAGCGAACAGG
rnacentral:rRNA from 1 species